UAUUAUUACUAGUAUUUAGUAUAUGUGGUAAAGGGCUUGGUGGUUGGUACUUGAAGUUUUGAGUUUGAAUCAUAGUUGAUUCACAUUUUCUUUGAUUCAUAUUCCCAGCUAAGUUUAUUUCUAAAAAAAAUAAAUGAAGAGGGUAGCACCAUGCUAUCUUUCUGAGAAAAAACAUUUAGUAACAAUAAUAUUUAUUAUUAUUAAAUAUUAAUUUUUAAUUAAUAUUAUUAUAACAAAAAUUAAUUAUUUUUA
rnacentral:lncRNA from 1 species